rnacentral:rRNA from 1 species
CCUACGGGCGGCAGCAGUAGGGAAUAUUGCUCAAUGGGGGAAACCCUGAAGCAGCAACGCCGCGUGAAGGAUGAAGGUUUUCGGAUUGUAAACUCCUUUUGUUAGAGAAGAUAAUUACGGUAUCUCACGAAUAAGCACCGGCUAACUCCGUGCCAGCAGCCGCGGUAAUACGUAGGGUGCAAGCGUUACUCGGAAUCACUGGGCGUAAAGGGCGCGUAGGCGGGGUUGCAAGUCAGAUGUGAAAUCCUAUGGCUUAACCAUAGAACUGCAUUUGAAACUGUUAUUCUAGAGUAUGGGAGAGGUAGGUGGAAUUCUUGGUGUAGGGGUAAAAUCCGUAGAGAUCAAGAGGAAUACGCAUUGCGAAGGCGACCUGCUAGAACAUAACUGACGCUGAUGCGCGAAAGCGUGGGGAGCAAACAGGAUUAGAUACCCUUGUAGUC